GCAAGACAACGACAGCCCGCCACAGCAACCAGCCACCACACAACAACAACCAACAACCACACAACAGCAACCAACAACCACACAACAACAACCAGCCACCACACAACAACCAACCACUACACACAACCAGCCACCACACAACAACCAACCACCACACAACAACCAACAACCAACCACUAUACAACAACAACCAACAACCAACCACCACACACAACCAACAACCACACACAACAACCCACCACCACACAACAACAACCAACAACCCACCACCACACACAACAACCAACAACCAACCACCACACACAACCAACAACCAACCACCACACACAUAACAACCAACUGCCACACAACAACAAUCAACCACCACACAACCAGCCACCACACACAACAACCAACAACCAACCACCAUACAACAGCCAACAACCAACCACCACACAACAACCAACAACCAACCACUACACACAACAACCAACUGCCACACAACAACCAGCCACCACACAACAACCAACCACCACACAACAACCAACAACCAACCACCACACAGCAACAACCAACAACCAACCACCACACACAACCAACAACCACACACAACAACCAACCGCCACACAACAACAACCAACAACCACACAACAACCAACAACCAACCUCUACACACAACAACCAACCACCACACACAACAACCAACAACCAACCACCACACACAACCAACCACCACACAUAACAACCAACCACCACACAACAACCAACAACCAACCACCACACACAACAACCAACAACCAACCACCACACAUAACAACCAACUGCCACACAACAACAAUCAACCACCACACACAACAACUAGCCACCACACACAACAACCAACAACCAUACACCACAACCAACAACCACACAACAACCAACAAACACACAACAAUCACACACAACAACAAACAACAACCAACAACCAACAACCAACAACCACACACAACAACCAACCACCAACCACCACACAACCAACAGCCAACCACCACACACAACAACCAACAACCAACCACCACACACAACAACCAACCACCACCCAACAACCAACAACCACACACAACAACCAACCACCAACCACCACACAACCAACAGCCAACCACUAUACAACAACAACCAACAACCAACCACCACACACAACCAACAACCACACACAACAACCCACCACCACACAACAACAACCAACAACCCACCACCACACACAACAACCAACAACCAACCACCACACACAUAACAACCAACUGCCACACAACAACAAUCAACCACCACACAACCAGCCACCACACACAACAACCAACAACCAACCACCAUACAACAGCCAACAACCAACCACCACACAACAACCAACAACCAACCACACACAACAACCAACUGCCACACAACAACCAGCCACACACAACAACCAACCACACAACAACCAACAACCAACCACCACACAGCAACAACCAACAACCAACCACCACACACAACCAACAACCACACACAACAACCAACCGCCACACAACAACAACCAACAACCACACAACAACCAACAACCAACCUCUACACACAACAACCAACCACCACACACAACAACCAACAACCAACCACCACACACAACCAACCACCACACAUAACAACCAACCACCACACAACAACCAACAACCAACCACCACACACAACAACCAACAACCAACCACCACACAUAACAACCAACUGCCACACAACAACAAUCAACCACCACACACAACAACUAGCCACCACACACAACAACCAACAACCAACCUCUACACACAACAACCAACCACCACACACAACAACCAACAACCAACCACCACACACAACCAACCACCACACAUAACAACCAACCACCACACAACAACCAACAACCAACCACCACACACAACAACCAACAACCAACCACCACACAUAACAACCAACUGCCACACAACAACAAUCAACCACCACACACAACAACUAGCCACCACACACAACAACCAACAACCAUACACCACAACCAACAACCACACAACAACCAACAAACACACAACAAUCACACACAACAACAAACAACAACCAACAACCAACAACCAACAACCACACACAACAACCAACCACCAACCACCACACAACCAACAGCCAACCACCACACACAACAACCAACAACCAACCACCACACACAACAACCAACCACCACCCAACAACCAACAACCACACACAACAACCAACCAUCACCCAACAACCAGCCACUGCCGCCACACAACAGCCAGCCCCGCUCCGAGGAGCUCCUCCUUGUCCUGUAAGGCACUGUCCCAGGGGUGCCGUUCAACAAGCACUUACAUCUAUUACACUCCGAGCAGCAUUGGGAGGCAGCCAUGUAGCUCAGUGAACAGAGUGCCGGGUGGAGUCCGGAAGACCUGAGUUCAAACCCAGCCUCAGACAC
ensembl:lncRNA